UACAGAGGGUGCAAGCGUUGUCCGGAAUCACUGGGCGUAAAGGGCGCGUAGGCGGCCCGAUAAGUAGGGGGUGAAAUCUUGCGGCUCAACCGCAAGGCUGCCUUCUAGACUGUCGGGCUUGAGCACAGUAGAGGCAGGUGGAAUUCCCGGUGUAGCGGUGGAAUGCGUAGAUAUCAAGAGGAACACCGGUGGCGAAGGCGGCUCUCUGGUCCAUGUCUGACGUUGAGGUACGAAAGCCAGGGGAGCAAACGGG
rnacentral:rRNA from 1 species